AGCCGCUUGAAAAAGCGAUUAAUACCCCAUAGGAAGCUUUAUCUAUGAUUUAGCUUUUAAAGCCUUCGGGCGCUGAGGGAUUGGGAUAUGCUCUAUUAGCUAGUUGGCGGGAUAAAAGCCCACCAAGGCAAUGAUAGAUAGCUGGUCUUAGAGGAUGAACAGCCACAAUGGGAUUGAGAUACGGCCCAUAUUCCUACGGGAAGCAGCAGUAGGGAAUCUUCCACAAUGGACGAAAGUCUGAUGGAGCAAUACCAUGUGAACGAUGAAGGCCUUUUUGGUUGUAAAGUUCUUUUACGAGGGAUAAUUAUGAUAGUACUUCGUGAAUAAGUGACAGCAAACUAUGUGCCAGCAGCUGCGGUAAUACAUAGGUCGCGAGCAUUAUUCGGAUUUAUUGGGCGUAAAGCAAGCGCAGGCGGAUGUGUAAGUUCUGUGUUAAAUGCAGCUACUCAAUAGUUGUAUGCACCGAAUACUACAUGUCUAGAUUGUGGUAGGGAGUUUCGGAAUUAAGCAUGGAGCGGUGGAAUGUGUAGAUAUGCUUAAGAACACCAGAGGCGAAGGCGGAAACUUAGGCCAUAAAUGACGCUUAGGCUUGAAAGUGUGGGGAGCAAAUGGGAUUAGAUACCCCAGUAGUCCACACCGUAAACGAUGGGUAUUAGAUAUUAGGGCUUUAGCUUUAGUGUUGUAGCUUACGCGUUAAAUACCCCGCCUGGGUAGUACAUAUGCAAAUAUGAAACUCAAAGGAAUUGACGGGGACCUGAACAAGUGGUGGAGCAUGUUGCUUAAUUCGAUAAUACACGAAAAACCUUACCAAGGUUUGACAUCCCUCGCAAAGCUAUAGAAAUAUAGUAGAGGUUAUCGAGGUGACAGGUGGUGCAUGGCUGUCGUCAGCUCGUGUCUUGAGAUGUUUGGUUAAGUCCCGCAACGAGCGCAACCCCACUCUUUAGUUACUUGUCUAAAGAGACUGCACAGUAAUGUAGAGGAAGGAUGGGAUCACGUCAAGUCAUCAUGCCCCUUAUGCCUUGGGCUGCAAACGUGCUACAAUGGCGAACACAAUGUGUUGCAAACCAGCGAUGGUAAGCUAAUCACCAAAUUUCGUCUCAGUUCGGAUAGGAGGCUGCAAUUCGCCUCCUUGAAGUUGGAAUCACUAGUAAUCCCGUGUCAGCUAUAUCGGGG
rnacentral:rRNA from 1 species